AACCAAGCCUCUGCUCCCAGGGUUGCAAUUUUCCGCCCCACCCCCUGCCCUCUGCGGAGGGGGAGGGCCCGGAGGUUGACUCUGUGGGCCUCCAUCCGGCCUGUUGGGAAACUUCCAGAGACAUCCCCAGGGAGGGGGUUCAGAGAGCUUCCUGGCCUGUGGACGCACGCAGGUGUGGGGAGAGAGGUGCUCCCGGAGAGGCCACGGGAGUUCUGCCCCCUUCCCCACACCUGGCCCUGUGCAUGACCUCCUCUGGCUGGCCCUGAGUCCUGUCCUGUCACCAUCAACCGUGGCCCGUCCAGGAUCCAUUCUGGGACCCCACGUUAUAUCUUGGCCACGGUGGCUGACUGUCCUCCUGCAUGGGGAAGGCCCUACAUCUUUCCUGAUGGCCCUACAUCUUUCCUGAUCUUUCGUGACCUGAACACUUAAAGAAUAAUGGUAAGUGUUUUGUUGAAUAUCUCUCAAUCCGCACCUGUCUGAUGUUUUGUGGGAAGGACGCACUCCUCAAACCGAAGGAGCUUACGAGAGACAGCGUAUCAGCGGGGGACAUGCAGAGAGAGAGGGAGACACCAAGUCAGAAGCAGGCUCCAGGCUCUGAGCUGUCAGCACCGAGCCCGACGCGGGGCUCGAACUCACAGACCUUGAGAUCGUGACCUGAGCUGAAGUCGGUCGCUUAACUGACCGAGUCACCCAGGCGCCCCAGGAUUCUUUUUUCUUAUUGGAAUUUUUACCCAUCAGCUGGAUGACAGUGUUCAGGUAGGUGACUAUUGGUUCAUCGCAUGGCUGUGAUAGCUUACUUGUCCUAGGCGCAUGGAAUGUGUAGGAUUAUGACAUUUUAUGUGCAUAUGUGUGUGCGCGUGCUCGCGUGCACAUUUUCCUUGUAAGAUUGCAUAACAGAAGGGUCAAACCUUUAUCUUCUCCAUGUUCCAAAAGAUUCCACUUUGUUUCCACUUCUACGUAACCUUCCAAAUGGAACUGAUUCCCGAGCGUGAUGAAAGGGAAAAAAAACCAAAAACAUUUUCAAGUACACAGGAACAAACCUUUUGAAACAGGAGGAGAAGGGCACAUGUGUUUCAACAGGCCAUGUGGAAUACAGUUUACUCAGUAAUUACGACCACGAUAGCUGUUUAUUUUUUCCACUCUGCGGCAUUUCUCCCU